UAUCCAGUGACCACAUUGCUGCCCUAAGAGAUGAACAGGGCAGGGCGUGUGGUAUUGCAGUUAACUAUGUGUCAUCUGGUCAUCAUAGUGAUUGGUAGAUUAAAACCGUUAGCCACCUCUGAAUUCAUAUCGAAGUCAUGCGAGCUGGUCUUUUUCUGCUUGGAUCUCCAGGGGCCUGAUCAAUUGAACAAGUAUAUUGGGGAGAGCGAAUCAGAAGUAAGGAAAAUAUGAACCCGUGCAAGCACUAACUCACCAUACAUCCUAUUUUUUUGAGGUAAAACUAAGUAGUUGUGGCCGCUUUGGAUGAGAGAACCCAAUUCCUGGUAAAUUGGACACCAUCAAUGAGUUCGUCGAGUUUGAUUGAACUCUCACACUUUGAACAUGCUCUAUUUAAAGCAAGGCCAUCCCUGUCAUAACAGGCUGUUCCCGCCGAUGCUGCUGUUCAUGCCGUCCCCCCAGUGCCUAGCAUCACCGGCAACAAGUUCAGCGCUGUCCGACAAGGUGUCCUGCAGGGACAACCUCCGUCGACCUGUCAUCGAACUUCAGUAUGCGUGCUUUGUUCUUUGAAACUGAAUUCAGACUUUGAGUACUACUUUUAUUUGAAAGAAAAUAUGUGCGUGAUUCCACAACUUAUGCCAAAAUGCAUAGCAUAGCUUGGUAUACACGAAUUGCAAUCUGAACGUUUUUCUCUGUGUCGUCGUCCUGCUUUCUGGUUCUAUGUUAUCUGUCAUCUUAUAUCUCGGCUUUCUGCUUUCUGGUGCCUAAACCGAACCGUCGAAUCUGUAAAUAUGUACCAGUACCAGUUUGAACCAGGGGAUGGUUGGUUGUUUAUGUGUGCUGUUAAUGAGUUCAUUCUGCUCUCUAACUCAUUGAAUUUUUGGAUGUCAAUCAACAAGCUUCCCCUCACUGACUGAUUGAUUGAUUGAUUUUUGGCCGGUGCUAGCUUGUGUGUCUUGUGUCGGGCGAGGGAGAGGGACGAUGUGCAUACGGGGUUGCUGCA